UUUAUUCAUAUUUUAAUUUUAAGAGGGUUAAACAUAAAGUGAGAUAGUUGAUUUUUUUUGUAUUUUUAUUUUUCUUUGUUGUUGGACGUUGGUUUUAUGUGCAUUGCAUGAGACGGUUGAACAUGGUUGUUUGUUCAUGAAUAUCAUGUUUGUUCAAACAUGUGUGCAUAGGUUGGCAAAUUUUUUGAUUUAAAAAUAAAACAUGAGGAACAAGAUGAAGACCCUCAUGAUUUUGUUUUUUCCACUCGCGCAUUUUUAUAUUAUAUAUAUCCAUGAG
rnacentral:lncRNA from 1 species